rnacentral:misc_RNA from 1 species
UUGUAACUAUCAUGAACAAAUGGAUAAAAAUAAAGGCGAAUCCAAUGUCUUCCAGGUUGCUGAAUUGAAAAUGAGUAUUUUGAGGUUCCAUCGAGGAUUCUUGCUGUUUGAUACAGCAAUGAAUCAUCAGAGGAAGUGACAGAUGUUGAAGAUUUGGCAAAAAUGUUUUUUGGGGUUGAAAGGGUGUUUGAGGUAGAGUUAUCAGCCAAGAAAACACGGUCGCCCACUCUAGUAUCGCUGAUUGAUCCACAGUCUAUAAGGUAAUUGUCUACAGGAUUAAAUCCAGAACAAAAACAUGCCAAGCUCAAGAUUGACACAGCAAAAACAAAAAUUUUUAAUCCACUAUCACUCAUCAUUACAAAAUCAAGGAAAUUUCUAAGGAACAAAGAGAUGGAUGCUGUUUGAGCUCAACCGAACCUU